ensembl:lncRNA
GUUAGAGGUACAGUUACAAGAUGACAUGCUGUCAUACCCUGGGUUGUACAGAACACAAUGAGCCUGUUAGCUGUACAGUUACAAGAUGACAUGCUGUCAUACCCUGGGUUGUUCUGAACACAAUGAGCCUGUUAGCUGUACAGUUACAAGAUGACAUGCUGUUAUACCCUGGGUUGUACAGAACACAAUGAGCCUGUUAGCUUUACAGUUACAAGAUGACAUGCUGUCAUACCCUGGGUUGUUCUGAACACAAUGAACCUGUUAGCUGUACAGUUACAAGAUGACAUAGUGUCAUGCCCUGGGUUGUUCUGAACACAAUGAGCCUGUUAGAGUUACAGUUACAAGAUGACAUGCUGUCAUACCCUGGGUUGUUCUGAACACAAUGAACCUGUUAGUUGUACA